CGGAGAGUGGUGUAAUGGUAGCACGAGUCCUUUGGGAGGAUUUAGUCCGGGUUCAAAUCCCGGCUCUCCGA
rnacentral:tRNA from 2 species